AUUCAGAGUAUCUGAGAAUUCGACAGAUCAAGAUCGAAGGAGUUCGAUCAGCAUCGGUCGUCAAAAAGGCUCUGCAACGAACUAGCAUUCGUGAGGAGCUGAUCAAAUCGGAAGCUUCGUGUGGACGAUCCGCAGAGGUCAGACACACUGUGUGGCUGUAUUGCAAUGAUCAGACCCUCCCGACGGUGAUCAGAUUGCGGC
rnacentral:lncRNA from 1 species